GCUCCCGUGGAGAAGCCUGGAGUUCUCAUUUGCCUGUCACGCAAAGGAUCGCGCGUUCAAAUCGCGUCGGGAGCG
rnacentral:tRNA from 1 species